CCCUCCCUUUCCCGUCUAUCCUCCUGCCUCCUCCCUUCCCUCCCCGCCCUCGCCCUCGCCCCUCCCCCACCGCGCCCGGACCGCGGGAGGCUGAGUCAUCGCUGCAGCGCUGCGGUGGCUGCAGGCGAGCAGGUAGUUUUUGAUUGACCAUUCGGUGCGAGGCACCAUGUCGGGUGCUAAGCGCUGGGCAGAGCGGGGAACCGGAGAGAGCCCCAGCCCAUGCGGAGAUCGCUGUGCUGGCAAAUACACCGUCUGACCUGCUAGGUCUCCAGCCUGCAGCCUGUGAGCAGCUACAAGCGUACAGCUUUGACAUCGGCUUGAAAGAACAACUUCGCUCCUGUUCUGUAGGAGAACCAAAUAUAUUUAACUGCUUCCGUUUAUCUCACA